rnacentral:rRNA from 1 species
AUGCGCUCGCCACGGCGUGCCAGGACUGCGGCUACCUCCGCCGCCUCAUCCCGCUCAUCUCCCUCGUCGACGAUUCGACAAACAGUCGUCGUGCCAAGGAGUGUGUUGAAACCAUCUCCAGCAAGAGCUUUGGAAUUCUCCGAAAUACGGGUUCAAGGAGCUACUGAACUCUGCAUUGUUGGAGAAAAACCAUCUGUGGGAAAAGUUGACCUGCAAGAACAGAAAAUCUUCAAUAUUGAAGAACUCGCUGAGCUUUGUAUCCGUAUAGAAGAAACUUGUGUGGGAUUUGCAAAGUUCAACUUCUUUCAGAUCGUGGAUGCUACAGACAAUUUCUCAGAGAGGAGAAUACUUGGGUUUGGUGGAUUCGGUACAGUUUAUAAGGGUCAGUUGCCCAACGGACUUAUGAUUGCCAUCAAAAGACUUGAUCAGCAUGCAACGAUAUUUGAUUUCGACAGUGAAUUGCAGCUUGCAAAGCUUCAGCAUACCAAUCUGAUUAGGUUGCUGGGGUGGUGCAUUCAUGGGGAAGAAAGGAUUCUUGUCUAUGAGUUCAUGCAAAAUAGUUCCUUGGACCAUUACAUAUCUGACAGAACAAAAGGGCAAUUGCUAGACUGGUCUAAGCGAUUCAAGAUAAUUACAGGGUUAACAGAGGGCCUUGUUUACCUGCAUAAAGGUUCCAUGUCCUGCCUUGUCCAUAGAGACUUGAAACCACAUAAUAUCCUCUUGGAUUAUAACAUGAGCCCAAAGAUUACUGAUUUUGGGUCAGCUAGGACACUGAGUUCAGAUGUAGCAGAAGGGCACACGAGUAGGCUCGUGGGAACCAGUGGUUACAAAGCUGCAGAGUAUGCAUCUCGAGGAGUUUACUCGACGAAGACAGACGUGUUCAGCUUUGGCGUUUUGGUUCUGGUGAUUAUUAGUGGCCGAAAGAAUACCAUACUCGACAAGCAAGAGGAUACUGUUGGUGAUCUUGUACGAGAUGCCUGGCAUAUGUGGAUGGACCAAAGGUUGCAUGAGCUUGUGGAUCUGUUGUUAGGGGACGGAUAUGAAGUCGCUGAGAUAACGAAAUGCGCUCAGGUGGCACUGCUUUGUGCUCAGGAAGAUCCAGCAGAGCGGUCCACCAUGACAGAUGUUGCGGCAAUGCUGAACUCUGAAAGCACAAGCUUACCAAUGGUGCCUAAGCAGCCCGCUGCGCUGAUCCAUGGGUGUGCCGACAGAGGCACGACGCCGACAUACAUGGGCCAAUCAAGCAGGACAAUAGAAGUAACCAUAACGAGUUCAGCUCCAAUGUCGACCAGAGUUCGAAUCAUUCUAGACCCGGAGGUUUGA